GUGGGGAAUAUUGGACAAUGGGGGGAACCCUGAUCCAGCCAUGCCGCGUGUGUGAAGAAGGCCUUUUGGUUGUAAAGCACUUUAAGCGAGGAGGAGGCUACCGAGAUUAAUACUCUUGGAUAGUGGACGUUACUCGCAGAAUAAGCACCGGCUAACUCUGUGCCAGCAGCCGCGGUAAUACAGAGGGUGCAAGCGUUAAUCGGAUUUACUGGGCGUAAAGCGCGCGUAGGUGGCCAAUUAAGUCAAAUGUGAAAUCCCCGAGCUUAACUUGGGAAUUGCAUUCGAUACUGGUUGGCUAGAGUAUGGGAGAGGAUGGUAGAAUUCCAGGUGUAGCGGUGAAAUGCGUAGAGAUCUGGAGGAAUACCGAUGGCGAAGGCAGCCAUCUGGCCUAAUACUGACGCUGAGGUACGAAAGCAUGGGGAGCGAACAGGAUUAGAUACCCCGGUAGUCC
rnacentral:rRNA from 1 species